rnacentral:rRNA from 1 species
GAUGAACGCUGGCGGCGUGCCUAACACAUGCAAGUCGAGCGAUUCUCUUCGGAGAAGAACGGCGGACGGGUGAGUAACGCGUGGGUAACCUGCCCUGUACACACGGAUAACAUACCGAAAGGUAUGCUAAUACGAGAUAAUAUACUUUUAUCGCAUGGUAGAAGUAUCAAAGCUUUUGCGGUACAGGAUGGACCCGCGUCUGAUUAGCUAGUUGGUAAGGUAACGGCCUACCAAGGCGACGAUCAGUAGCCGACCUGAGAGGGUGAUCGGCCACAUUGGAACUGAGACACGGUCCAAACUCCUACGGGAGGCAGCAGUGGGGAAUAUUGCACAAUGGGCGAAAGCCUGAUUCAGCAACGCCGCGUGAGCGAUGAAGGCCUUCGGGUCGUAAAGCUCUGUCCUCAAGGAAGAUAAUGACGGUACUUGAGGAGGAAGCCCCGGCUAACUACGUGCCAGCCGCCGCGGUAA